GGCGNUCAGGAAAGUCUGGAGUAAAAGGCUAUGGCUCANCCAUAGUGUGCUCUGGAAACUGUNUGACUUGAGUGCAGAAGGGGAGAGUGGAAUUCCAUGUGUAGCGGUGAAAUGCGUAGAUAUAUGGAGGANCACCAGUGGCGAAAGCGGCUCUCUGGUCUGUCACUGACGCUGAGGCUCGAAAGCGUGGGUAGCGAACAGGAUUAGAUACCCUGGUAGUCCACGCCGUAAACGAUGAGUGCUAGGUGUUAGGCCCUUUCCGGGGCUUAGUGCCGGAGCUAACGCAAUAAGCACUCCGCCUGGGGAGUACGACCGCAAGGUUGAAACUCAAAGGAAUUGACGGGGGCCCGCACAAGCGGUGGAGCAUGUGGUUUAAUUCGAAGCAACGCGAAGAACCUUACCAGGUCUUGACAUCCCGAUGCUAUUCUUAGAGAUAGGAAGUUACUUCGGUACAUCGGAGACAGGUGGUGCAUGGUUGUCGUCAGCUCGUGUCGUGAGAUGUUGGGUUAAGUCCCGCAACGAGCGCAACCCUUAUUGUUAGUUGCCAUCAUUAAGUUGGGCACUCUAGCGAGACUGCCGGUAAUAAACCGGAGGAAGGUGGGGAUGACGUCAAAUCAUCAUGCCCCUUAUGACCUGGGCUACACACGUGCUACAAUGGUCGGUACAACGAGUUGCGAGCCGGUGACGGCAAGCUAAUCUCUGAAAGCCGAUCUCAGUUCGGAUUGGAGGCUGCAACUCGCCUCCAUGAAGUCGGAAUCGCUAGUAAUCGCGGAUCAGCACGCCGCGGUGAAUACGUUCCCGGGCCUUGUACACACCGCCCGUCACACCACGAGAGUUUGUAACACCCGAAGUCGGUGAGGUAACCUUUUAGGGGCC
rnacentral:rRNA from 1 species